rnacentral:sRNA from 1 species
GAUUUAACAAUUUUUAGACUAUUAGUAAAAAUCUUACAACCAUUCAGCGAAAGGAGUAUAGUAAAAUGGCUAACUUUACAACCCAUAACCCAAUCACAACUGAAAAUAUUUUAGUCAUUUUAUUAUGCUAAGGGCUGGAGCAUUAGAUUUACACUAGUGCUUAAGUCCUAUUCGAGUUGAAUGGGACUUUCCAG